CCUACGGGAGGCAGCAGUAGGGAAUAUUGCUCAAUGGGGGAAACCCUGAAGCAGCAACGCCGCGUGGAGGAUGAAGGUUUUCGGAUUGUAAACUCCUUUUGUUAGAGAAGAUAAUGACGGUAUCUAACGAAUAAGCACCGGCUAACUCCGUGCCCGCAGCCGCGGUAAUACGGAGGGUGCAAGCGUUACUCGGAAUCACUGGGGGUAAAGAGCGCGUAGGCGGGAUAGCAAGUCAGAUGUGAAAUCCUAGGGCUUAACCAUAGAACUGCAUUUGAAACUGUUAUUCUAGAGUAUGGGAGAGGUAGGUGGAAUUCUUGGUGUAGGGGUAAAAUCCGUAGAGAUCAGGAGGAAUACUCAGUGCGAAGGCGACCUGCUAGAACAUAACUGACGCUGAUGCGCGAAAGCGUGGGGAGCAAACAGGAGUAGAUACCCCAGUAGUC
rnacentral:rRNA from 1 species